rnacentral:rRNA from 1 species
CCCUUAGAUGUCCGGGGCUGCACGCGCGCUACACUGAAGGAAUCAGCGUGCUAAAACCAUUGUCGAAAGGCAUUGGUAAACCCAUUAAAAUCCUACGUGAUUGGGAUCGGGAAUUGCAAUUAUUUCCCUUGAACGAGGAAUUCCCAUUAAGUGUGGGUCAUAAGCUCGCGUUGAUUACGUCCCUGCCCUUUGUACACACCGCCCGUCGCUGCCCGGGACUGAGCCGUUUCGAGAAAAGCGGGGACUGCUGCUGUCGGGGCUUUCGGGCCUUGGCUUCGGUGGAAACCGCUUUAAUCGCAGUGGCUUGAACCGGGCAAAAGUCGUAACA